AAGUCGUAACAAGGUUUCCGUAGGUGAACCUGCGGAAGGAUCAUUAACACGUUUCGUUCCGAACGUUUUUUGACCCAUUAUUUUCCGUGCUCAUUCAACCCGGCCUCCUGACCCAACCUUCCGGUUUACUGGCUGUGUUCUGGUCGGGCGUCUGCAGGGUUCAUAGGCCCCACUUUCAGAACGAAUGUACGAGCGAAAUGCUUGUCUAACUAGUAUGAUCGACGCGGACCUCCUGCGGGCGUUGCCACCCAACCCCAACCCUUGAAUCUAAUUGCUCUGAACUCGUAGUUGUGCCGAAAGGCCAACGACUUUAAAAACCAACAACAACUCUUAACAAUGGAUAUCUUGGUUCUC
rnacentral:misc_RNA from 1 species